rnacentral:lncRNA from 1 species
AAGCUUUCAAGUGCUCAAGUGUCCUAGCUUUCCAAAGCUUCAAAAGCUCUCCAACUUCUUCUUCUAAUCUUCUUGUUCAUCUUUACAAGUAAGAAGUGUUGUUUGCUUUAAUAUUCCACUCCUCUAAUCACUUCUUGUGUGUGUCCACUUUGGUUGAGAGGGUUGUCUCAAUAGUACCAAAGUGUGAGAGAAGGUUUGUGAGCUCAACCAUAAAGCUCUAGUUUGGUUUUAUAGAGUUUCCGGGAAAACUCUUAGGUUGAGUCUACCUUUAAAGAUUUCAGAGGUUUUUAAGAGUUCCUUGAUACUCUAAGGUACUAACUUACCCGUAAAAGUUAGAGGUUCUUAAGAGUGCCCUUGAUACUCUAAAGUGUGAGUCUACCCGUAAAAGACUGGUUCCUAAGCGAAGUAGCCUUAAAGCUUAGAGAGGUUUUUAAGAGUUCCUUGAUACUCUAAGGUUUUGCCAUUACCUUUAGGCGAGUGAAUUCCGGCAGUUGGUCGGGACUGGACUAGCCCUUGUUUGGGUGAACCAGUAUAAAUCUCUUGUGUUGUUCUUUGUUAAUUAUAGUUCUAUCUUUUACUUAAAAACAACACUUAAUUAAAAAGAUCCCUCUUCCAGUUAUCUGGUCAAACACAGAGGUUGACUACUUUACGCAGAUCCCUCAUCCAGUUAUCUGGUCAACUAUCUGAGGUUACAUUCAUUG